UUUGCCAAGUACCCACCCUCGUAUGGUUAAUAACAGAGCUGUGGGAACUGUUGUACAGUUUGCAUCACUCAGUGCUGUCUGUGCUCCUAAUGCAAGGCAUUUCCUGUGUGAGAAGUUCUUAGAUGUCAGAUCAUGGGAAGUGAUCACUUGCUGUGCAGCUCACACACACACUGGAGUAGCUGGGACAGCACUGAGUUUACACCUUCUAUAGCUGUUCCUGCGGCUCUAUCAAGCAUGGGAGGAGAACUAGACUACAGAGGACUCCUGAUACCCUCUCCUCACCAGCCUACUUAAGCUCCAAAAAGGUACUUUAUAGGUGCUAUAAAUAGGUAACCCCCUACAGGAUAUGCACCUACAGGACCCGUGUAAGUGUCAAACAGUUGGUUGAUCAAAUUGGUUUUGAGACUCCUGGCACCAUAGUGACUACAGCAAGCUGUACUUAGACUACCCCUUCAAUCAAAUAGAACAUGUUAAAGAUGGUAUUCCAUUUAAUGCAGGAAUAAAUUAUUUGCCUUUUCCAAAGUUGCCUUAUAUCGUCAGGACCUCUGUGCAUCCCUAACCAUUUACUUACAAUGGCUAUUAUCGUAUUUGAACUAGUAAGCUAUACAUAGUAUUUCAUAGGAAUGAAACAUUUGGUCCGCCGUCCUCACAAUCUCUAUAUGUAGCUCAAAGAUUUAAUUUUUUUUGGACAUUUUUAAUUAUCAAAGUGGUUCAUUGCUUUUUCACACUGUAAUUACAGGAAGUGCUGUCUUGCGAAGGCCAGGAUAUUGAUAUUCCUUUUUUUUUGCUAUUUUUAACUGAUGUUACUGGCUGGUGAGAUUUCAGCCUGCAACUGAGCCUUUGACCUAUUUAUAUGGUAAAUUAUUU